rnacentral:rRNA from 1 species
UACAAAGGGGGCUAGCGUUGUUCGGAUUUACUGGGCGUAAAGCGCACGUAGGCGGAUCUUUAAGUCAGAGGUGAAAUCCCAAGGCUCAACCUUGGAACUGCCUUUGAUACUGGGGAUCUUGAGUCCGGGAGAGGUGAGUGGAACUGCGAGUGUAGAGGUGAAAUUCGUAGAUAUUCGCAAGAACACCAGUGGCGAAGGCGGCUCACUGGCCCGGUACUGACGCUGAGGUGCGAAAGCGUGGGGAGCAAACAGG